CUGCGCUCUAAACUCAGAAGUCCAAAAUGGCGUCUGUGGGAAGGAGUUUGUUCGUGUUUCUCUGUCUUGUAUCUUCCAUUGUCUUUGUUACCCCAGAUGAACUUCCGGAUGACUGGCCUCCUAAAGACGAAAAGUUCAAGUACGAGGCCGACGGGCUGUAUUCUGAGGAUUUUGACCUUGAAAUUGGCAAGGGUCUGAAGACGUUCGAGAGGAAUCUGGAUGAUGUUUUCACAUGCAGACUUUCAUACGAGAUUCCAAAAGGAGAAACAGAGGAAUGGCGGGUUACAAUGUCUCAGAGCCCGGAUAAAACAUCAUAUUCCUGCAUCAUUGAGAGGCCUGGCCCCACCAAUUCUGAGCUCAACUUCAAGCAGUUCAAAAUGUCCCUGAUAGGAGUCAAUGAAAUCAACUAUGGAGAGGCAUAUGGUGACCCUUCCGUGUCACUACCAGCAGAGGAGUACAUGGUAGACAAAGGCAAUAUGGAAGUUUCUGCAGUGCAUGGAAAGUUCAAAGGUCAUAUCAGCAGAAUGCUUGGAGUUGGAGGUGUCCACAUUCACCAUGAAGAGCUCUAAAGCAUGUUAUCACUUGACGGAUUCAAAGGUCACUUGAGCCGUUUGCUGGCUGUUGCACGCCCUCACCGUGCACGUGAAGAGCUAUAAUGCCAUCUACUGACCAUAACAGGCACAGCAUUGUCAUCUAGGCGAGGCAAGUUCAAGGGUCGCCUCAGUCGUCUGGUGGCACUAGGCAUACCCCAUGAGCCCCAUACUGAACUGUGAUGAGUCAACAUCAUGCUUUUCAUCCCCAGAUUUUAAAGGAAACUUAAUUCUUUGAUGUGUAGUUGCAGUACAUGUUGAACAAACAACUAGCUGUAAUGGAGGUAGUAUUUGUAGUAGCAUUUUGUGAGAUAUUUACUAGUUUCUGCAAUUGUUUUGGUGCUAUUCAUUUUGUGGGAUCAAUGAAGGAACACUACCUCACAACCAAAGAAACUUGAUCAGCUUCACAAACCUGAAUCUAACUCUGAAUCUGUGUUCUGGUACUGCAGUGAUCCAAGUGAAACAUUAACAAAAGAUACUUAAUUUCCUUAACAUGCUGUCCUAAACCACUCUAUGUAGUGCCUCAUAUACAUGUAUAUAGUGCCUCAUUUUACUUAAACUUGCGUGCUUUUUUGUUGGCGCUGAUGUUGAAAGCCAUAUGAAUAUAGGAGCUGCAUAACAAGUUUGUCAAGUUUUAUGAUGCAGUUUUUUUACUUAGAGACUCUUUUUUUUGUAGGUGUAUUUGAUUUGGUGGUGUAAUGUAGAUGGUGAAGCAGCCAGGAACCUUUUCUACACUAUUUCUAUGUCUAGUUUUGUAGUUCAACAGAAAAACUAAGAUAGAUGUUCUGCUGUAAUGCCAGAUACAAAUCAUGUUCCAAUCAUGUAACUUGUGAAAAAAAUUUACACGGAUGAUUAAGUUUUAGUUUUUUUAUUGUCAAUCAGUUGUUACUAAAGCAUUACAUUUUGCUACAAAAUCAUGUUUCAGUAUCAAAAUGAUUACCGCAGUAGUCAGAUUUACACUACACAUGUAUAGAGUUAGAAAUUCCAUGUCAUGAUCUAUCUUCCCUGGACAGCAUGUUUUUACACAGUUGCUACUUGGCUGUUACUGGUGAGACCUAAAGAAUGCAGGAGAAAUUUAAAGGAUGCAGACUUCGCAUAUUUAGAAAAAAAGCUGUGUGCUAGAUGACCACGAUAAUGAGAAUAACUGAUAGUUUUGAAGAAUGGAUCUGGUAGAAGCAUUGUUUUAACUAGUGUUGUUCACUUCUACAUCCUCUUUUUAUAAGACUUUUUUAAAAAUAAAGUUGUCAUUGUAGAAA